UACGGGGGGGGCAAGCGUUGUUCGGAAUUACUGGGCGUAAAGGGCUCGUAGGUGGCCAACUAAGUCAGACGUGAAAUCCCUCGGCUUAACCGGGGAACUGCGUCUGAUACUGGAUGGCCUGAGUUUGGGAGAGGGACGCGGAAUUCCAGGUGUAGCGGUGAAAUGCGUAGAUAUCUGGAGGAACACCGGUGGCGAAGGCGGCGUCCUGGACCAACACUGACACUGAUGAGCGAAAGCCAGGGGAGCAAACGGG
rnacentral:rRNA from 1 species